GAACCAGUGUUGUGUAGUGGUUUGAAUGUUGGGCUACAACUCUGGAGAUCUGGGUUCGAUUCCCUGCUUGGCCA